GACGAACGCUGGCGGCGUGCUUAACACAUGCAAGUCGAACGGAAAGGCCCUGCUUUUGUGGGGUUCUCGAGUGGCGAACGGGUGAGUAACACGUGAGUAUCCUGCCCUUGUCUUUGGGAUAACAUCAGGGAACAGGGGCUAAUACCGGAUAGGAUCUCCUGCUGCACGGUGGGGGAUGGAAAGAUUCGGCGGUUGUGGCUGGACUCGCUGCUUAUCAGCUUGUUGGUGGGGUAGUGGCUUACCAAGCCUUUGACGGGUAGCCGGCCUGGGAGGGUGACCGGCGACAUUGGGACUGAGAUACGGCCCAGAAUCCUACGGGAGGCAGCAGUGGGGAGUAUGGCACAAUGGGCGGGAGCCUGAUGCAGCAGCGCCGCGUGCGGAAUGACGGCCUUCGGGUUGUAAACAGCUGUCGACUGUGACAAAGCGGGAGUGACGGUAAUGGGUAAAGAAGCACCGGCUAACUACGUG
rnacentral:rRNA from 1 species